GAUGAAGAACGCAGCGAAAUGCGAUAAGUAAUGUGAAUUGCAGAAUUCAGUGAACCAUCGAAUCUUUGAACGCACCUUGCGCCCUUUGGCUAUUCUGAAGGGCAUGCCUGUUUGAGUAUCAUGAACACCUCAACUCUCAUGGUUCGCCAUGAUGAGCUUGGACUUUGGGGGUCUUGCUGGCCUACGGUCGGCUCCUCUCAAAUGAAUCAGCUUGCCAGGGUUUGGUAGAGUCGCAGGUGUGAUAACUAUCUACGCUUGUGGUUUUCUGCCAGAUAACCUUCAGUGAUGGAGGUUCGCUGGAGCUUAUAAAUGUCUCUCCCCAGUGAGGACAGCUUUUUGAACGUUUGAUCUCAAAUCAGGUAGGACUACCCGCUGAACUUAAGCAUAUCAAUAAGCGGAGGA
rnacentral:misc_RNA from 1 species